CAUCAAGGCAAUACACGUGUUUUACA
rnacentral:sRNA from 1 species